rnacentral:rRNA from 1 species
UUUCCGUAGGUGAACCUGCGGAAGGAUCAUUACCGUGUUCGGCUUCGACGCUCGCGUCGAACGCUCGACAUCGUUUAACUCGUGCGGACAGUGCAUGCGGCGGACCCGAAAGGUUCGCUCACGAAGAACGUCGAUUUGUCUCUCGAUCGACAUUCUACUACUCAGUUGUAGCGUUGCGGGGUACCUGUUCCGUUGUUGUUGUUGUUGUUCCGACGAUGACGACGACGACGGGAAGAGCGGCGGACGGUCCAUCGUAUUCGCGUCGUCUACUUGCGCGAUGAUCGAAACGGACCGACCGCGCGGCGACGGUUUAAAGAACCCGCCGGCUGUUGCUCGAUUGGCAGUCGGUACGUCGCCCCGCACGCGUUUUUUUCGUCUUUUUACUACAGUCGCUUUAUCUUCUGUCGUCGUAUUUCGCUACGACGACUACGAAGUUCUGUGACAGACAAACUCGAUAAAACUCUAAGCGGUGGAUCACUCGGCUCGUGUGUCGAUGAAGAGCGCAGCCAGCUGCGUGAAKUAAUGUGAAUUGCAGGACACAUUGAACAUCGAUAUCUUGAACGCACAUUGCGGCCUCGGGCAUUCUCGAGGCCACGCCUGUCUCAGGGUCGGUUGAAAGUAUCUAUCGCGAGUUGUCUCUCGCUCGCGCAGUGGACAGUCGCGGCAGAUCGUUCGGUCGUCUCUUGCCGAACAACGUGCCACGUCGUCCGAAGUUCAGACGGUUCGCACACCGGAGCGCGAUACCGCACGUCUCGAUACCGCGCGUCGGAUCGGCGAGACGGUUGCUCGGAUGGUCUAUCAUCGAGCCGUCGUCGUCGAUCUCGCCGCUGUCGGUGUCUGUGCGGUGCUAUUCGUCGCGUCGCCACAGUGCGAACGAUCAUCGUAUCAAUCUUCUAUCAUCUUCUUCGACCUGAGAUCAGACGAGAUUACCCGCAUGAAUUUAA